CCUCAACUUCAGCUAUGAGGACAGAGGAGAAUACUACUGUGAGGCCCAGAAUGGAAGAGGAUCUAUGAACUCUGCAGCUCAGAUGAUCACUGUAGCAGGGAAACAAACCUCAGUUAUGACUCCAGCUGUAGGAAUCACAGUGAUUGUUCUGGUUCUCAUACUGGCUUCAUGUCUCUUUGGCUUCAUGUGGUUAAGGAAGAAAGCAUUCAAAACCACCUCUGACACAAGACACACAGCAGACAUGGGACAGG